rnacentral:rRNA from 1 species
UUUUAAAUUGAGAGUUUGAUCCUGGCUCAGGACGAACGCUGGCGGCGUGCCUAACACAUGCAAGUCGAGCGAUGAAACUGCCGUCGGGAAGUGGAUUAGCGGCGGACGGGU